rnacentral:lncRNA from 1 species
AUACAGCUUCUCAUCCUAGUCUUCAUUUUUAGAAAGCAAGCAUCAGUGUUAGAAGAGAACAGAGAAGAAAGAAUAGUAAAGAACCAGCAAACAGAGUUAUCUAGACUGGAAAAGACCCUCUAGAUCAUCACACCAACCAUCAACCUGAGUCUCAUCACUAAAUCAUGUCCCUUAGUGUCAUGUCCAUGCAUUUAUUAAACACUUCCAGGGAUGGGGACCUUACCACAUCCCAUGCUAGCACAUUCCAAUGCUUGAACUCUCUCUCCACAAAUGCAUUCUUCCUACUAUCCAAUCUAAACUUGUCCUGGUACAACUUAACAUGAUUUCUUAGUCCUGUCACUUGUCAUCUACUUACACAUAAGGGUCUUGAAUAACCCUUUAGUUUCCACAACACUUGAAUGAUGAUAAUUUUUCUUACAGUUAUGGAACUGGUCAUUA